CGGGACGGGUGAGUAAUGUCUGGGAAACUGCCUGAUGGAGGGGGAUAACUGCUGGAAACGGUAGCUAAUACCGCAUAACGUCGCAAGACCAAAGAGGGGGACCUUCGGGCCUCUUGCCAUCGGGUGUGCCCAGAUGGGAUUAGCUAGUAGGUGGGGUAACGGCUCACCUAGGCGACGAUCCCUAGCUGGUCUGAGAGGAUGGCCAGCCACACUGGAACUGAGACACGGUCCAG
rnacentral:rRNA from 1 species